UACGUAGGGUGCGAGCGUUAAUCGGAAUUACUGGGCGUAAAGCGUGCGCAGGCGGUUCGCUGUGUCCGAUGUGAAAGCCCCGGGCUCAACCUGGGAAUGGCAUGGGAAACUGGCGGGCUGGAGUGUGGCAGAGGGGGGUGGAAUUCCGCGUGUAGCAGUGAAAUGCGUAGAGAUGCGGAGGAACACCGAUGGCGAAGGCAGCCCCCUGGGCCAACACUGACGCUCAGGCACGAAAGCGUGGGGAGCGAACAGG
rnacentral:rRNA from 1 species